UACGUAGGGUGCAAGCGUUGUCCGGAAUUAUUGGGCGUAAAGAGCUCGUAGGCGGCUUGUCGCGUCGGCUGUGAAAACCUGGGGCUCAACCCCGGGCCUGCAGCCGAUACGGGCAAGCUAGAAUUCGGUAGGGGAGACUGGAAUUCCUGGUGUAGCGGUGAAAUGCGCAGAUAUCAGGAGGAACACCUGCGGUGUAGACGGCUUACUGGACCAUAACUGACGCUGAGGCACGAAAGCGUGGGUAGCAAACAGG
rnacentral:rRNA from 1 species